UGACCUCUGACCUCAAAUCAGGUAGGACUACCCGCUGAACUUAAGCAUAUCAUAG
rnacentral:rRNA from 1 species